rnacentral:lncRNA from 1 species
UACUUUGCUGAACAUUAUUGCUGUUUACAGUUUAUCUCUAUCUAUAAUAAUAUUCAAGAUAAUAACCAACCAGAUGCUCCGCAGGGCGCAGCUUUAUAUGACUGCAGAGGUUGAACCCUGAAUGGUUGGGGCAAGUAUGGACACAACAUUCAAGCUGGAUUCAGCUCUAAAUUUGGAUUGUGAUUAAAUAGUUGACACAGCAUAGGUUUCUGACACAGAAUGAAUGUGGUCUAAUAAACUUAAAAUUUGUUUUUUGCCUUUGAGCAAUUCACUAUGCUGUUGAAUAUUAAUCCUCUCAAAAAAAUGUUUGAAGAAAUUUUCUUUUUAUUUAUGAAAUCUGAAAUGAGAAAAAUUGACCCCCCUCCCCCCCCCCCCCCCAAAUUUUUUUUUCACAUCCCCCUUUCCCUUAUUCCAAAACUGAUCUCAAUUCAAAUUACUAAUGGAGUUUGCAACAAUAACUACUCAUUUAAAU